GACGAACGCUGGAGGCGUGCUUAACACAUGCAAGUCGAGCGGUAAGGCCCUUUCGGGGGUACGACGAGCGGCGAACGGGUGAGUAACACGUGGGUGACCUGCCCUCAGCUCUGGGAUAAGCCUGGGAAACCGGGUCUAAUACUGGAUAUGACUCCAUGACGCAUGUUGUGGGGUGGAAAGCCUUGUGCGGCUGAGGAUGGGCCCGCGGCCUAUCAGCUUGUUGGUGGGGUGANGGCCUACCAAGGCGACGACGGGUAGCCGGCCUGAGAGGGCGACCGGCCACACUGGGACUGAGACACGGCCCAGACUCCUACGGGAGGCAGCAGUGGGGAAUCUUGCGCAAUGGGCGAAAGCCUGACGCAGCGACGCCGCGUGAGGGAUGACGGCCUGGUUGUAACGU
rnacentral:rRNA from 1 species